CUUUUGUCGAGUUUGGGGCGUUCUCCUACCCGUGCGCUCCGGUAGGGGAUUCGCGGCUCACGCAGGGUGAAUACCCUGGCGCUUCUGAUUAGCACUUCAUGGCAGGAAGACCUCAGGAUAUUUUCACCAAGAGCUGGGUAUUUUAGAGGAGAGGUUUGAGGCUAGGAAGUGAAGUUUAGAGAUGAUCAUUAGUUAGUUUUCCGUCCAGGCACUGUGCCAUUUUAACACCCAACCUUGUUUCCAGAACUCCUCCUCUUCCUCUAAAAAAUCAUCUUCGCGGAAAUGAACAUUGAUUUUACUAAGAACUUUACGGAGAAUCAUGCAUGAAUUGCCAAUUUUCAAAACUUGGAAUAUGGUGUAGAGUCAGAGAAGCUCAGAAUUCCAUAGGACGUGAUGGGUCCUGUCCUGUAACCUCCUAUUUCAGUUUCUGGAUUUAUUGUGGGCUACUGCCGUCUAUGGGGUCGCACAGAGUCGGACACAACUGAAGCGACUUAGCAGCAGCAGCAGUAACAAUGUGACCAUCACCAGUCUGGGUCCACCGUAAGGAAUUCUGCACAUCGUGUAUCAAACUCUGUGGAAGAUCUGCGGAGCAGAACUUCCUGAUGGGCCAUCCUGUGGUCCCUGUGCGUGCGUGCAUGCUAAGUUGCUAACCAUCAUGCAAAAGAUGAAACUGAAGCAAGAAGACGUCUUUGACUGGAAAGUGAUUAGAACACCUAAUCCUCCAGUUAUAGCCUAUCCACAGUGAGCUUUAUCUCGGAGGCACCCAAGGCCACAUCUCUCCGCCCCAGCAGCUCUCACCUGCCUCCCUUGGUCUCGGAAGAACUCUCCAGUAUUCUCAAUGACCUGUUCAUCUGACAGCUGGGAAUAGGGCUGUUCCUGGCAAAAGG